UGCAAGUCGAACGGCAGCACGGAGCUUGCUCUGGUGGCGAGUGGCGAACGGGUGAGUAAUAUAUCGGAACGUACCCUAGAGUGGGGGAUAACGUAGCGAAAGUUACGCUAAUACCGCAUACGAUCUAAGGAUGAAAGUGGGGGAUCGCAAGACCUCAUGCUCGUGGAGCGGCCGAUAUCUGAUUAGCUAGUUGGUAGGGUAAAAGCCUACCAAGGCAUCGAUCAGUAGCUGGUCUGAGAGGACGACCAGCCACACUGGAACUGAGACACGGUCCAGACUCCUACGGGAGGCAGCAGUGGGGAAUUUUGGACAAUGGGCGAAAGCCUGAUCCAGCAAUGCCGCGUGAGUGAAGAAGGCCUUCGGGUUGUAAAGCUCUUUUGUCAGGGAAGAAACGGUGAGAGCUAAUAUCUCUUGCUAAUGACGGUACCUGAAGAAUAAGCACCGGCUAACUACGUGCCAGCAGCCGCGGUAAUACGUAGGGUGCAAGCGUUAAUCGGAAUUACUGGGCGUAAAGCGUGCGCAGGCGGUUUUGUAAGUCUGAUGUGAAAUCCCCGGGCUCAACCUGGGAAUUGCAUUGGAGACUGCAAGGCUAGAAUCUGGCAGAGGGGGGUAGAAUUCCACGUGUAGCAGUGAAAUGCGUAGAUAUGUGGAGGAACACCGAUGGCGAAGGCAGCCCCCUGGGUCAAGAUUGACGCUCAUGCACGAAAGCGUGGGGA
rnacentral:rRNA from 1 species